AAUUUUGGACAAUGGGGGAAACCCUGAUCCAGCCAUCCCGCGUGUAUGAUGAAGGUCUUCGGAUUGUAAAGCACUUUAAGUUGGGAGGAAGGGCUUUCGGUUAAUACCCUGAAGUCUUGACGUUACCAACAGAAUAAGCACCGGCUAACUCUGUGCCAGCAGCCGCGGUAAUACAGAGGGUGCAAGCGUUCAGCGGAAUUACUGGGCGUAAAGCGCGCGUGGGUGGUUCAGUAAGAUGGGUGAGAAAUCCCCGGGAUUAAACUGGGAACUGCUUUCAUGACUGCUGAGCUAGAGUACGGUAGAGGGUAGUGGAAUUUCCUGUGUAGCGGUGAAAUGCGUAGAUAUAGGAAGGAACACCAGGGGCGAAGGCGACUACCUGGACUGAUACUGACACUGAGGUGCGAAAGCGUGGGGAGCAAAC
rnacentral:rRNA from 1 species